rnacentral:rRNA from 1 species
CCUACGGGCGGCAGCAGUGAGGAAUAUUGGUCAAUGGGCGGGAGCCUGAACCAGCCAAGUCGCGUGAGGGAAGACGGUCCUAUGGAUUGUAAACCUCUUUAGGCGGGGAGCAAUGCCGGGCAAGUGUGCCCGGAGGGAGAGUACCCGCAGAAUAAGCAUCGGCUAACUCCGUGCCAGCAGCCGCGGUAAUACGGAGGAUGCGAGCGGUAUCCGGAUUGAUUGGGGUUAAAGGGUGCGUAGGCGGAUUUUUCAGGCAGCGGUAAAAUGUCCGGGCUCAAGCCGGGCCGGCCGUUGAAACUGGGGAUCUUGAGUGGGCGAGAAGUAUGCGGAAUGCGUGGUGUAGCGGUGAAAUGCAUAGAUAUCACGCAGAACUCCGAUUGCGAAGGCAGCAUACCGGCGCCCGACUGACGCUGAGGCACGAAAGCGUGGGGAUCGAACAGGAUUAGAUACCCUUGUAGUC